rnacentral:rRNA from 1 species
CUCCAGACUCCUACGGGAGGCAGCAGUGGGGGAUAUUGCACAAUGGGGGAAACCCUGAUGCAGCGACGCCGCGUGAGUGAAGAAGUAUUUCGGUAUGUAAAGCUCUAUCAGCAGGGACGAAAAUGACGGUACCUGAGUAAGAAGCCCCGGCUAACUACGUGCCAGCAGCCGCGGUAAUACGUAGGGGGCAAGCGUUAUCCGGAUUUACUGGGUGUAAAGGGAGCGUAGACGGUUAUGCAAGUCUGGAGUGAAAGGCGGGGGCUCAACCCCCGGACUGCUCUGGAAACUGUGUAGCUUGAGUGCAGGAGGGGUAAGCGGAAUUCCUAGUGUAGCGGUGAAAUGCGUAGAUAUUAGGAGGAACACCGGUGGCGAAGGCGGCUUACUGGACUGCAACUGACGUUGAGGCUCGAAGGCGUGGGGAGCAAACAGGAUUAGAUACCCGGGUA